rnacentral:rRNA from 1 species
GACGAACGCUGGCGGCGUGCUUAACACAUGCAAGUCGAACGAAGAGCGAUGGAAGCUUGCUUCUAUCAAUCUUAGUGGCGAACGGGUGAGUAACGCGUAAUCAACCUGCCCUUCAGAGGGGGACAACAGUUGGAAACGACUGCUAAUACCGCAUACGAUCUAAUCUCGGCAUCGAGGAUAGAUGAAAGGUGGCCUCUACAUGUAAGCUAUCACUGAAGGAGGGGAUUGCGUCUGAUUAGCUAGUUGGAGGGGUAACGGCCCACCAAGGCGAUGAUCAGUAGCCGGUCUGAGGGGAUGAACGGCCACAUUGGGACUGAGACACGGCCCAGACUCCUACGGGAGGCAGCAGUGGGGAAUCUUCCGCAAUGGACGAAAGUCUGAAGGAGAAACGCCGCGUGAGUGAGGACGGCCUUCGGGUUGUAAAGCUCUGUUAAUCGGGACGAAAGGCCUUCUUGCGAAUAGUGAGAAGGAUUGACGGUACCGGAAUAGAAAGCCACGGCUAACUACGUG